rnacentral:rRNA from 1 species
GACGAACGCUGGCGGCGUGCUUAACACAUGCAAGUCGAACGGAAAUGCCCUGCUAUUGUGGGGUGCUCGAGUGGCGAACGGGUGAGUAACACGUGAGUAACCUGCCCUUGACUUUGGGAUAACUUCAGGAAACUGGGGCUAAUACCGGAUAGGAGCUCCUGCUGCAUGGUGGGGGUUGGAAAGUUUCGGCGGUUGGGGAUGGACUCGCGGCUUAUCAGCUUGUUGGUGGGGUAGUGGCUUACCAAGGCUUUGACGGGUAGCCGGCCUGAGAGGGUGACCGGCCACAUUGGGACUGAGAUACGGCCCAGACUCCUACGGGAGGCAGCAGUGGGGAAUAUUGCACAAUGGGCGGAAGCCUGAUGCAGCAACGCCGCGUGCGGGAUGACGGCCUUCGGGUUGUAAACCGCUUUCGCCUGUGACGAAGCGUGAGUGACGGUAAUGGGUAAAGAAGCACCGGCUAACUACGUG